GACGAACCGUGCGAACGUUAUUCGGAAUCACUGGGCUUAAAGGGCGCGUAGGCGGGCUACUAAGUCAGACGUGAAAUCCCUCGGCUUAACCGGGGAACUGCGUCUGAUACUGGAUGGCUUGAGUUUGGGAGAGGGAUGCGGAAUUCCGGGUGUAGCGGUGGAAUGCGUAGAGAUCCGGAAGAACACCGGUGGCGAAGGCGGUUGGCUGGGCCGUUGCUGACACUGAUGCGCGACAGCGUGGGGAGCAAACAGG
rnacentral:rRNA from 1 species